rnacentral:tRNA from 1 species
GCUCUGGUGGCUCAGUGGUUAAGCACUUGGUUGCCAACCAAAAGGUCAUGGGUUCAAAUCCACCAGCUGCU